rnacentral:rRNA from 1 species
GACGAACGCUGGCGGCGUGCUUAACACAUGCAAGUCGAACGGAAAGGCCCUGCUUUUGUGGGGUGCUCGAGUGGCGAACGGGUGAGUAACACGUGAGUAACCUGCCCUUGACUUUGGGAUAACUUCAGGAAACUGGGGCUAAUACCGGAUAGGAGCUCCUGCUGCAUGGUGGGGGUUGGAAAGUUUCGGCGGUUGGGGAUGGACUCGCGGCUUAUCAGCUUGUUGGUGGGGUAGUGGCUUACCAAGGCUUUGACGGGUAGCCGGCCUGAGAGGGUGACCGGCCACAUGGGGACUGAGAUACGGCCCAGACGCCUACGGGAGGCAGCAGGGGGGAAUAUUGCACAAUGGGCGGAAGCCUGAGGCAGCAACGCCGCGUGCGGGAUGACGGCCUUCGGGUUGUAAACCGCUUUCGCCUGUGACGAAGCGUGAGUGACGGUAAUGGGUAAAGAAGCACCGGCUAACUACGUG